CUGUAUUACACUGUACCUGUAUACUGCAUGCAUGCUGCAUGCUGUGUCAUAGCCUAUGGCUGUGUGUUUGACUUGCCUGCGUUCGCUGUUGACACUCUUGUGCGCUGUAAGCGCUUUGCAGUGCGGGCUCAGACAUCGAGUUGACAGUUUUAAAGGUUAUAGUACCAUUUAUUGUCAUGUCUGAAAGCGUCGAUUCGUCGUGGACGUCACUGAAAGUACACGAUGAGGUCCGAAAGGCAAUUCAAGAACUUCACUUCGAAAAAAUGACGCCUGUUCAGGUGACAACAAUACCUCUGUUUUUGUCAAAUAAGGAUGUUGCUGUGGAAGCCGUAACAGGCAGCGGAAAAACGCUAGCUUUUCUAAUACCUCUACUGGAAAUUUUGCUUAAGAGAGAUGAACCACUCACAAAAUAUGCGGUUGGCGCUAUUGUUAUCUCUCCCACAAGAGAGCUUGCUACACAAAUUUACAAUGUCCUCGAACACUUCCUCCAGUUUCUGCCUCAGUUCACUGGCCAGCUUCUCACAGGAGGCUCUAAUCCCAUAAAUGACGUAAAGACUUUCAAGGAAAAAGGAGCUAAUAUCAUCGUGGCAACACCAGGACGUAUGGUGGACAUGCUUGAACGCACCGACGAAAGCUUCAGCUUUGCUGCUUGCGUGAAACCUCUGGAGGUACUUGUGUUAGACGAAGCAGACCGCCUGUUAGACAUGGGAUUUGAAAAAAGCGUCAACACGAUCCUGUCAUUCUUACCCAAACAGAGAAGAACAGGUUUGUUCUCAGCUACUCAAACAAAGGAAGUAGAAGAUCUCAUUCGUGCUGGGCUUCGAAACCCCGUCAGUGUUACGGUGAAAGAAAAACCCACCGAAUGUGGCCAUACACAACGUACCCCGGCACUUCUGAAGAAUUUUUACAUUCUUUGUGAGGCAGACCAAAAGCUCAGCACAUUAGUGGCCUUUCUUAGAGCCCAUUCAGAUGGAAAGCACAUGGUCUUCUUCAGCACAUGUGCCUGUGUUGAGUAUUUUUCUUCAAUCCUUGUACAACUACUGAAGAACAUGACUGUCAUCAACAUUCAUGGCAAGAUGAAAAAGAAAAGACAGAAGAUCUUCAACAGAUUCAUGAAAAUGGAUAAAGGUGUGCUUGUCUGCACGGACGUUAUGGCUAGAGGAGUUGACAUUCCAGAUGUCCAAUGGGUUGUCCAGUAUGAUGCUCCAAAAUCAUCCAGCUCAUUUAUUCAUCGUUGUGGAAGAACUGCGAGAAUGGGCAAUGAAGGCAAUGCAGUGCUGCUGCUGAUGCCCAGUGAGGAUGCCUACAUCAAGUUCCUGGAGCUGAAUCAGAAAGUUACACUGGAAAAGAUGGAUCCACCACCAGCAAUAAAUGAGGUUACAUCGAGAGUGAAAAAAAUGGCAAUGAAAGACAGGGCAGUUUAUGAGAAGGGAAUACGUGCCUUCGUUUCAUACAUUCAGGCGUACAGCAAGCAUGAGUGUUAUCUUCUAUUCAGGAUAAAAGACCUUGACUUCGCUAAAGUAGCAGAAGGCUUUGCCCUACUAAAAAUGCCAUACAUGCCUGAACUCAGAGGAAAGAAGAUUGAAGGCUUUGAAGCUUCCAACAUUGACGUAAAGUCAAUACCCUACAAGGCUCAUUUGUAAAAACCAGACAAAAGCAGAGACAAGGCAAGAAGCGAAAGACAAAAGAAGACUAUGAGAAUGAAGAGUGGGAUGACUUGGCUUCAGAUGCGAGGUUGUUAAAGAAGCUGAAACGGAAUAAGAUCUCAAAAGAAGAGUUUGAUGAAGCAUUUUUAAUCUAGGCAAAGUGCUGCUUGGGCCACUUCACAUUGUGUGUGUUGCAACAGGUCAUGGAAAAUCAGUGCUAUCACAUUGUUUUAUGUGUAAAAUAAAUACAAAAAUGACAACGACAAAAAUUUAUUUCCAUAUACGGUUCAUAGUCUUGAGCCCUAGUCCACAUGCCGGCAGUUACAAAUGCAAAAGAAUGUGUAAACAGGAUACACAAAAAAAAGAAGAUUAGUGUAAAAUUCUUACGAGCAUCAGUGUAAACCUGCAGAGAAACAGCAAGCUCUGCAAUCAUGUAAAGUAAUGCAUACAAAAUGUGUAAAAUAAUUACAUCCGCACGAAAUGUUUACAUAUAAAGCUGUGACUGUAAGCAACAUAAACGAAUGACAACAGUGGUCGCUAUAGUCUGUGACAAGUCAAGAAUGUUGGAGAGGCUCCUCCCAAAAAGGCAUGACGUGCCUGCCAUUGAUCCCUUUGUGCUCCAAGAAACAAUUCCCUUGGUCUCACACC
rnacentral:misc_RNA from 1 species